AUUAUUUAAAGAAGUUUUAGUCCCGGCUAAUCUCGUGCCAGCAGCCGCGGUAAAACGGGAGGGGCAAGCGUUACUCGAAAUAAUUGGGCGUAAAGAGUUUGUAGGUUGUGAUGAAAGUUAUUUGUUAAACUUUAAAGCUUAACUUUAAAUCGGCUUAUAAUACUUCUUCACUUGAGUUUUUUACAAAAGAGUAGAAUUUUAUAUGAAAAGGUAAAACUUGAAGAUAUAUAAAGGAAUACCAUCAAGCGAAAGCGGUUCUUUAGUAAAAACUGACGCUGAGAAACGAAAGUAUAGGUAGCAAACAGGAUUAGAUACCCUGGUAGUCUAUACCGUAAAUUAUGAAUGCUGUAAUUUAAAUUUUUAUUUAUUUUUGAAUUUUUAAUUAAUUAUUAGAUUUUUAAGCUAACGCAAUAAGCAUUCCGUCUGAGGAGUAUAAUCGCAAGAUUGGAACUCAAAGGAAUUGACGGGGGCCUAAAACUAGUGGUGGAGCAUGUGGUUUAAUUCGAUAAUCCACGAAAACCUUACCAACUCUUGACAUAAAAUUUUGAAAUAAUAUACUUGAUUAAAGUAUAAAAGAAACAUAUUUUACAGGUGCUGCACGGCUGUCGUCAGUUCGUGUCGUGAGAUGUUUGGUUAAUUCCUUUAACGAGCGUAACUCUUAUUUUUAAUUUAAAUAAACCUUUCUUUCUUAAAAUAAAGUUUAAAUCUUUUAAAAAAACUGCUGGUGACAAAUCAGAGGAAGGAGAGAAUCAAGUCAAGUCUAUGUGGCCCUAAUGAGUUGGGCUACACACGUGCUACAAUGGAAAUUACAAAAUAAUAUUAAAAUUAAAAGUUUGUAUUAAUUCUUAAAAAUUUCCUUAGUUCGAAUUGUAGGCUGCAACUCGCUUACAUGAAGUUGGAAUCACUAGUAAUCGCAAAUUAGAUUGUUGCGGUGAAUACGUAUAUUGGCCUUGUACACACCGCCCGUCACAUGCGAAAAAUUAAUUUUACUCGAAGAUUUAUUUUUAGUAAAUCCAUUGAACGGUUAAUAAUUUGUAUGAAGUCGUAACAAGGUAGCUUUACGGGAACGUGUAGCUG
rnacentral:rRNA from 1 species